rnacentral:tRNA from 1 species
GGAUUGUGGCUCAGUGGUGGAGCGCUCUCCUAGCACUGGCAGGACCUGGGUUUGAUUCUCAGCACCA